CAAUAGCGUAUAUUAAAGUUGUUGCGGUUAAAAAAGCUCGUAGUUGGAUUUCUGCCGAGGACGACCGGUCCGCCCUCUGGGUGAGUAUCUGGCUUGGCCUGGGCAUCUUCUUGGAGAACGUAGCUGCACUUGACUGUGUGGUGCGGUAUCCAGGACUUUACUUGAGGAAAUUAGAGUGUUUCAAGCAGGCGCACGCCUUGAAUACAUUAGCAUGGAAUAAUAAGAUAGGACCUUGGUUCUAUUUUUGUUGGUUUUCUAGAGCUGAGGUAAUGAUUAAUAGGGAUAGUUGGGGGCAUUCGUAUUUAACUGUCAGAGGUGAAAUUCUUGGAUUUAUGAAAGAUGAACUUCUGCGAAAGCAUUUUGCCAAGGAUGUUUUCAUUAAUCAAGAACGAAAGUUAGGGGAUCGAAGAUGAUU
rnacentral:rRNA from 1 species